UUUUCUUGCCUUUUCUGGGCCGCACCCACGGCACAUAGAGGUUCCCAGGCUAGGGGUCUAAUUGGAGCUGUAGCCACCGGCCAUACUAGAGCCACAGCAACGCAGGAUCCAGGCCGCGCCUGUGACCUACACCACAGCUCACGGCAGCACCGGAUCCUUAACCCACUGAGCAAGGCCAGGGAUCAACCUCAUGGGUCCUAGUCGGAUUCCUUAAGCACUGCGCCACACGGGAACUCCUAGAUUGUCUUUUAACUGGGGAUUUCAACGUCUCUUGAAAGGGAGCAAGGAUGUUUAAAAGAAGAAAAUGGCAAGAAUGAACAUGAACAUAUCUGCAGGCUAAGCAUAAGCUCUACUAUGAUGCCACUUAAUAAAUGAUUGCUGAGUAAAUAAAUGACUGCAUUUUAAAUAAAUGAAUGUCACGGAAAAAAUAAAAAUUAAAAAAGACUCAAAAAAGUGGUUUGAAAAAAGUUACUAAUAAACAAGAUGGAAUCAAAAAUAAAUAAAUAAAGACCCUUAGCCUCUUUGGAGACUCUACUUCCUCAUCUGUAAAAUGGAUACCAUAAUAUCUUUUGGCGGCCUUCACAAAAUUGCCAUGAAGAUCAAGUGGGAUAAAAGACAGUCGUUUAAUACCCUGGAGAAUCGUUCCGCAGUUAACUCAACCCACGGUCCCUGAGCACCAUGCAGCAGGCAUUGCUCCAGGUGCCGGGGACACAGCCACGCACCAAGCAAGCAAAGCCCUUGCUGACGCUCCACCAGGGAGCAAUGGAGAGUAAAACAGGAAACCUAGGAAGGAGGCAAAACCCUCAAGUAUGCCUUAAUGAUAGACACACUUAGAUGACAGGGCUAUGGGCAAAGGGGAAAGUAGAGCGGGGUAACGGGUGACUGGGGUUAGGAUGAGCUGCAAUUUAAAAUCAGGUAUUCACUGUUGGUGAGAAUAUAACCUGGUGUAGCCACUAUGGAGGAGAGUGUGGAGGUUCCUCAAAAACCUAAAAAUAGAGUUGCCAUAUGACCCAGCAAUCCUACUCGUGGGCAAAGAUCCAUACAAAACUGUGACUUGAAAAGAUACAUGCACCCCAAUGUUCAUAGCGGCCCUGUUCACAACAGCCAAGACACAGAAGCAACCUAAAUGUCCAUCAGCAGAUGAAUGGUAAAGAAGAUACACACACACACACAAUGGAAUAUUACUCAGCCAUACAACAUGAAAUAAUGCCAUUGGCAACAAGAUGCAUGCAACUAGAGAUUAUCAUACUAAGCGAAGUAAGUCAGAAAGACAAAUACCAUAUGCUAUCACAUAUGUAGUCUCAAUUAUGACACAAAUGAACAUAUCUAUGAAAGAGAAAGAGACCCACAGACACAGAGAACAGACUCAUGGUUGCCAAGGCGGAGGAGGCGUGGGGGAGAGAAGGAUGGGAGUUAAUGUGCGAUUAGCAGAAGUAAACUAUUAAACAAGGUCCAACUGUAGAGCACAGAGAACUACAUUCAAUAUCCUGUGAUAAACCAUAAUGGAAAGCAUGUAUAUGUAUAUGUAUAUGUAGAAUGUAAUUACUUUGUUGUACAGCAGAAAUUAACCUGACACUGUAAAUCAAUUAUACCUCAAAAAUUUUAUUUAUUUUUUGUCUUUUGUCUUUUUAGGGCCACACCUGCGGCGCAGGGAGGUUCCCAGGCUAGGGGUUGAAUCAGAGCUGUAGCCGCUGGCCUACGCCAGAGCCACAGCAACGUGGCAUCCAAGCCACGUCUGCGACCCACACCACAGCUCACAGCAAUGCCAGAUCCUUACCCCACUGAGCGAGGCCAGGGAUCCAACCCAUAACCUCACGGUUCCUAGUCAGAUUUGUUUCCACUGUUCCACAAUGGGAACGCCUACUUCAAUAAAGUUUUAAAAUAAAUAAAUAAAAUAAAAUCAGGUGUUCAGAGUAGACCUCGUUGAAAGGUGACACUGUGUUGACAGUUUAAGGUGAAGGCGUUAGCUCUGCAGGCUCCUGGGUGACAAGUGUGACAGGUGGUAAAGCAGAGCUAUGCCUUCUGUGUCCCAGGCCAGUGGGACUGGUGCCCAAGAGCGAGGGAGUCAGGGGGGAGAGGUGGGGGGGGGAAGAUGGUUCAGGGCCUGGUACAGAUGUGGACUUUCGCUCUGAGAGAAGCGGGCACCCCAGGCACCCUGGCACCCCUGGCUUCCGCUUAGAGGGCUCCCGCUGGCUACUGAGAUGAGAAGGAAUGUAGGUGGAAAUGGAAGAAGUGGGGGUAGGAGACUCGGCAGCAGGCCAGUCCAGGAAUCCAGCAGGGAGGCCCGAAGGGUCGCCUUCUGUAGACACUUUGAAGGAAGAGCCAGGGGGAUGAGAGGAGACAGGUGUACGAGCUGGAGAGGGUCGUUCAGAAUCCACGUGGAGAAAGGGGAACAGGGAGGAGGCAGUGGUCACGCAUGGCAAAUGCUAGGGGACAGGUCAGUCUGGCGAGGGCUGUGACUGCCUG
rnacentral:lncRNA from 9 species